GAACACACAACGCACACACAUAACAGACAGAUAGAAAGCUUUUCUGGAAGUAAUUCAUUUGGUGUGAAAUCUUUCCAACACAAAAGCUUUUGUGCCUGAUUUUAGGUUCUACAAAAUGUGAUAUUCUGUCUCCUUAAUCCUAUAGUUUUAUAGGAUAUGUCUGUUCCCUAUGAAUCAUUAAUUGCUCUUUACUUGACUGCAGUGGAAAAGUUAAAAAAAAUAAAAUUACGCACGUGUGUUCCAUGAUGCUGCAGAUACAUGGAUGCGCCUCAUCCUUUAACCUUUACGCACUGUUUUUUUCCUUGCUGCAUAGCUGGAGCCCCAUAGGCUUGUAACAACGGGGCCACUCUCUCCAUUCACCGAGAGAGGGGAGAGCGGUGCUGGUAGAGGAGGCGAGAGGCGAGGAGGUGGUGGUGGUGUGGUGGGGGGAGGCGGUAGUGGUGAGAAGGAGGGUGGCAGAGGAGGGAGAGGAGAAAACGUGUAAUCACCCAAACAACCGUUUCUUUUUUCUUCUUCUUCUUCUUUUUUUUUUUUUUUACCCAUUUCACCCCCUCUGGAUUCGUGUGGCAAGCCUGCAGUCUGCCGUGAGGCUAUGUGUCUUUCAUUGCGGAUACCGUGACGGGAGGCCGGACCACCGGGAGGAAAACACCAAGAGGGAGAAGAUGGAAACUGGAUGUAUGAGGAGAACCAUGCCAACAACACAUCGCUCCCGAAGUUCUAUUUGUAUGUGAGUUCUGUUAUUAGGACCUAUUUAUUGUAGGUAAUUUUAAAUGUGACAUUCCUGUAAGUUUAUUCAUUUACUAUAAAGAGAAAGUACAUAUGCAAACAUAUGACGCAUCAUACAUUCCAUCAUAACAUUAUAUUUUUCUGUAAUGAAGUAUAAAUGAGAUAUAUUAAAACAAAUCAGACAAUGCCUCUUAGAUUCAAGCAAGCACGUACAUCCAUCAUUUGUACAAAUAAUGCUUGAACUAGCACCAACUUCUGUGCUUGCGCUAGCCAUUCGCCACUUCGCCAUAGGCGCAGCCUUCCUCAGGAUGGCGAAGCCAUUUUUAGCAUGUUUAGCCACGGUGGCGAAGCUAAUUUUGCCUAAUAAAUGUGAAAAAGGGUUAACUUAGGGCUGGGCGAUAAAUCGAAUUAAUUAGAUUAAUUCAAGUUUUUAAAACCCGACGAUUUGAAAAUUUGCAAAAUCAUAAAAUCGAGGCAAGCUUAAAUAUGAAUUCUUCUUCUGCCUUUCACGACUUGUGCACUGGCGUUUGCUUCCGCUUCUCAUCUCCUUCCGCCAAAACACUCACACCCCCUAGAUGAAUCUCAUUAGCUUUUUUCAUGAAUCUCGUCAGGAAAGUAAGAUUCAGUACUUUCUAGUCUUAACAAGUAUUGAGUAUGUAUUUUAUGUUACAGUGACAUGAUUGAUAUAUUGAUUUUUUUUACAGGAAUUGUUGUGCAUAUUUCUUAUUACUUAGAAAUAAAAAUAGUCCAGUUGCAAAUUGUGUGUGAGUAACUUUUUUAAUUAAACUGUUGAAGUAAUCUGAAGCAAUACUGAACAUAAUUUUUGGCCUCAAAAUGCACCAGAAGGCAGGAAAAGGACUCAGUUUUUUCAAAAUUUCCCGCACCGCAGUACAGAUACUGAAAAAGUGUGGCUAAAUGUGGCUAAACAAAAUUCUAGCACUUUAGCCACAGUGGCUAGAGACAAAUUUUCCCUAGUGUAAGCACAGAAUUUAGAACUGCGCUCCUGUAAAACUGUCCUACUCAUGAUGGACAGUUGUUUCUUUAAUAUUAAAAAUCAUCCCAGUUAUCACAGCAGAGUCAGUGUUGUUCACUUUCUCUAUUGAAUAGCAAUUCUUUUUGCUUGUAAAACCCAUAAACCAAUAAUACCCACACUGCAAAUGAAGUACCAACUGUGUGAUCAGAAAUAUUGCCUUAAGCAUCUAUCCUUAAAGCUGAAGCAGUGAGCUAUCGAAAAAUGUCUCUUCAGUUACUUAUACAACACCGUUUUUUAAAAAUAAUUUCAGACUUAUAUUCUUCAGCCCUGACACAUGUGACAGCACUUGAGAUUUGUCAGUCUUAGUGCACAACUCGUGUAAACAUGAUGUGUAAAAUCAGUGGCGUACCCAUUAAAUAUGCAAAACUUGA